AGAGUUUGAUCAUGGCUCAGGAUGAACGCUAGCUACAGGCUUAACACAUGCAAGUCGAGGGGAAACGACAUCGAAAGCUUGCGUUUGAUGGGCGUCGACCGGCGCACGGGUGAGUAACGCGUAUCCAACCUGCCCACCACUUGGGGAUAACCUUGCGAAAGUAAGACUAAUACCCAAUGACGUCUCUAGAAGACAUCUGAAAGAGAUUAAAGAUUUAUCGGUGAUGGAUGGGGAUGCGUCUGAUUAGCUUGUUGGCGGGGUAACGGCCCGCAAGGCUACGAUCAGUAGGGGUUCUGAGAGGAAGGUCCCCCAGNUUGGAACUGAGACACGGUCCAAACUCCUACGGGAGGCA
rnacentral:rRNA from 1 species